UUUUUCGCUUUCAGAAUACAGGGGAAAGCAAAACUAAUCAAACUAAGCAGAACUAAUCAAUCAGCUGGGAAGAGGGAAAUAAGAAGUUCCGAUAAAUUGCUAAAAUAAGAAGUUGAAUAGAUUUAAGGGAGGAGGAGAGGAAAAGAGUGAAAAAUCUAGAGAUGAAACAAAGGGGGAUCCAUUUUCUGCUAAGACAAAUUGAAAAGCGAGUACAAUAAAUGAAAGAUUUGCAAAGAAGGUGUAGGAUCGAGGACAAGAACGAUUCAAAAAAGGGAGACAGAAAAUGAAGAAGAGAUUUCAGAGGACUCUAGAGAUUAGAGAAGAGGGAUGAUUAGGAAAAUGCAGAGGCAGACAGUUGUCAUCUCAAGUCUCAAGGGUAAUCUGAACUUUAUGAUUUUUUAUUUUUUCAAGAAAUAGAUGUACAAAUAAAAUGAAAAAAAAAAAAAAAAAAACCUGUUGUGUGGUCGUGUGGGUUCCUCGAAAUCACUUCGGCAUUUAAUCGAACGGUUGGAUGUACUCAGCAUCUACACUUGCACGAAGGUUCCUGGAAGUUGCGAGUGCUGCCGGCAUUUUCAAACUCGGAAGGUUUCAAUAAUUCUUUUUCUUUGAAAGAAAGGUUUCAAUAAUUAGCUUUGAUAAUUGUGUAAUAUACGAUAAUCUAGUGAUGAUGAUGACUUAUUUAUGUGAUUAAAAGCUAAGCUGGUGGAUUUGUAAGUAAGAACACACGAGCAACCAUUUUUGUUGAUGCGGGAUUCCGGUUCUCCUCGUUCUACGACCAGGAUCUCUGCCCGAUCAACUUCUUCACGACCAGGAGGUCUCCUCGUGAGGCUUCUUCUCCAGAGGUUCCUGCGCACACAGACAAGUCAGAGUACGCCGGUUGUUUUCCCGGCGCAAACCCUCCGACGCUCAAGUCAGAUAUGAAGGUUCGGGGAAUGCUUGCCACAGAUCUUAUGGCUUUUUCGUGGUUUUCUCUUCUUUUGAAUUUCUUUUCUAAUCUCAAAAAUGCUAACCCUUUUACCUUCGUUGGCUACCUUUUUAUAGGCUUCCCCCGAAUCCUAGUUUUCCGCUUUUUUCGAGACGGUAUGGGACUCUGACUGCUGCGUUAUGGGCAAACGUGGGAUCUUGCGUGUUACGCCACGGUUCUGGGGAAAGCGUGGCUGUCGUGGUUCUGUGAGAUCUUGCGUGUUACGCCACGGUUCUGGGGAAAGCGUGGCUGUCGUGGUUCUGUGAGAUCUUGCGUGUUACGCCACGGUUCUGGGGAAAGCGUGGCUGUCGUGCCUAGAUUCUCGGGCUGGAGAGCAUGUCUUGCCAACUGCCGUCGACCGGGUCUCCUCGCCUCUCGACCUCUAGCCGGAAUGGCCUUAUGCCUCUUACAGGAAAUUGGCCUCGCGGAUGACGUGCUCGUGGACGAGCAGGAUAUUUCUGCUCCUGUUCCCCCGCGCACCAGGCUUUUACGGAACACACCGGUUCGCAGAACUCUGCCAUCAGAUAUCUGCUCACCAUGCCUGGUCUCGUCGACGUAUUUCUCCCAAACACCGGUGACGUAUUUCUCCCAAACAAUUUUUAUCUUCUUAUUGCCACAUUCUUCUAAUCAAUUUGCUUUCACCAACAAAAAUAAUUAAUAAUUUGUAAAUAGUUGGAUCUUAAGCUCAAAUUUUGACAAUACAUGAAUGAUAAUGUAUACUUAUUUUUCAAGGGUAAACUCUAUUCAAGAGAGGAUCUCAAUUUUCUAUUAGUUUCUUCAAAUGGGCAUUUUAUCCAACAGUUGAUGAACUCGAAAACUUACACGAAGGUUCCAGGGAGUUGCAAGUGCCGCCGGCAUUUUUCAAGUAAUCAAGUGAUUAACUUUGAUGUGUAAUAAAUAACUUUGAUUAUUGAGUAAUAUAUGAUAAUCAAGUGAUUUUAAUAUGUAAACGGUAGGAUUUUGGGCUCAUAUCUUUAAAUUAAAAUCAUGAUCAUUUUAUCAUUAAACUCGAACUCUAUCUUGAUUAAUAAACAAUUGAGGAUUUUUCAGGAAUAAAUCUUCAAGAAACUAAAUAUGCUUGGCCUAAUGGAAGUUAUUAAAAUGUCAAAAUUAAACCCUUUUAAAUAUAUUAGGGAUUGUAAAGAAUUUCGGAUAGAUUUGAGUGUUACUGAUAUCAAUUGAGGAUAAUGGGGUGAUAAAUUUAUGGAGGAAACUACCAAAAUCUCUCUGUUGUUCUGCGAAAUUGACUAUUUCUUCUUUCUCGUUUUCCUUCAAAAUUUCGCUUACGUACAUGGAUAAAAUAUUUCAUUUUUCAACAGGUGAUGUAAGAUAAUUUUACCUUUUUAAUUUUCCUUGGGAAUUUUAUAUCUAAAUCAUGUUAAAGUGGACCAAAAAGACAAAACAUAGAAAGCGACAAUCCAACAACUAGGUAAAUUUAUUGGGAAACACUAUUUCUGCUAAUUGAAGAAAAUCAAGAAAUGCUGAUUCCGUCAUGCUUAGUUUCAUAAUCAUUAAUAUGCUUUUAUACGAAUCCUUGUUUUUGAAUAUAAUAAUGGUUUAAGAAAUGCAUACCUGUUAGUUCUCCAUUUCUUGACUCCGAGGAAAAUUUGACUUGACAGAUGAAGCAAUGUUAUAAGAGGUUUCAUACACAGCUUCUACGCGAUCACUACCAUGCUUACAUGUAAAACGUUGCUGCCAUGUCAUCAUACUGGACAGACCUUCAGAGGUUACUCUUCGAAGCGUUUCAUUAUGCCACGUGUACUUGGUUAUUUGACUAAUCACGGUUCACAAGUUGAGUGAGUUACUCACCACACCACCUUCCUGCUGCAAAGAAUUUUAAUUGAACUUUGACUUGGUCAGAAACUCAGAAUGAGUGGUGCACGUGAUGCAUACACGUGAGGACCCAAAUGACGAAUUCCAAACGCUGAGUGAUGUACGUGUGAACUAAAUGUUUUCAUUUUAAUACCAGCGGCAAUCACGUACACGUUUAAUGAUUUGAUUAAAUUUGUGUUUAGUUCUAUAAAUGAUUUCAGUCAUUGUUAUGAUUUUUUUGGGUUGACUCGACGGAGCAACUAAUAAUUUCCCAGUUCUGCUACUAAAUUUAUUUCCCACGAUUUGAUUAAACAGAGCUCCACUAAAACUUCAAUUCAUUUCACUAUUGUAAUAGAGGUUUCAUUCACGUUGAAUACCCAGAAUAAUUACUGAUAGUUAUAUAUGGAAUGCUACUUCAAUGUAGCUUACUGCCGCAAUAAUACUCAAUGACUUUCGAUGACAAAAAAAUUUAUCAUUAGAAUGACUGUAAGUUCAUCUAAUGCCGAGUUUCAUCAUUAACUACCAAAAUACUCCAGAAAUCCAAUACAUUUAACUAAACACAAAUUUAAUCAAAUCGUUAGACACUCAACCUGAAAGUGGAUUCGAAGUAAUAUUAAUGAAAACAAAGAAACAGGGGGACCCUCUUGAUCGCCAACGCCAUCUUACCCUUGAUAAAGAGAAAGAAGUCAAGCUCCAUAUAAUAUAAUGCCUCACAAAUUAUACAGAAAAAAAUGGCCUCAUUUCAGAUGCUACAUAGAUGGUUUUCAUGAAUCCUCGUUUUGUGUGAUGAUUUUUUUUUUUUUUUGACAUUUAAUAGAGUAUACAAAAUAAAAAUAAAAAUUUAAAAUUUACUAGAUGAGCCAAUAAAGUAUAGUAGUGUUCAGAAAUUUUUUUUUUUCUAGAAUGUAAAUAACCCACCCAAAGUAAUUUUAUCUUAUUAGACUGAGGUUCUCCCCCCUCCCCCACAAAAAAAAAAAAGCUGCUUCUUGGUUUUUAAUGCAAACACGAUUACACGAAGAGCUUUCGUUAAUAGUGCUUUUAGAUUGGAUUUCUAUGUUAAAAUAUAAAUCAGUUUUAGAACACUAAAUUGAGGGAGAAUGUUGGAUUUGAUCUUAUUGUAGGCAACUUCAAGAGUGUAAGAAACUGCUCCUGGAGCGUGCUAUUACAUGUUUUGUUUGUGGAAAAUGAUAUUUGUGCUGUCAAUUUUAUGCUGCAAUGGCACUAUAGCAUAAGCAAUACCCAUAUUUCUGCAUGUCUUCCGAAUAUCUUGCAGCUGUUCAAAUAACAAUGCUCUUUGUUUGCCUACAAACCUCUAUUUUCUGUCAACAUAAUCGAGGUAGCAACCCGCUAAUAAUUUUGUAAAUUGAGCCUGGAUGAAAAAUUGAUGAAUGUGUGGGUGAGAAUAAUCAUUACUCAAAUCUUUCACUGAUGUCCUAAAUGAUUUCUCCUUCUAUAGAUUACAGUGGUUGGUUAUAAUCACAAAUUGAGGAUCUUGCUGGAAGCUGUUGUUCAAAAAAUUGCAGAAUUCAAAGUGAAACCAAACAGAACACUUAUUUCUGUUCGAAUAGCCGCCGUAAAGUUUGAAUUGGGCAAUUUUUUGGACAAUAUGUUUCCAGCAAGAUCCUCAAAUUUGUGAUUAGAACCAACCAGUGUAGCCUAUGGAAGCAAAAACAACCAUUUAGGAGAUUAGUGAGAGACUUGAGUAGUGAUCUAGUUCCGCACUGGUCUCAGCCUUCUCUUCAGUCUCUUGCUCUUUUGCUUUCGUCUCAGAAACUCCGCGCUGAAUGCCCGUACUUUCACUCUUCCGCUUCUCUGUUUCUGCCUUGAUAUCAUCAAAGAUGGCAUUAAUCGUAGAAUAAGCAGAUAACAAUCUAAAGUGAAGGAGGCCAAAGGAAAGUGAGAUUAAAAAACAAACAGAAGCGAGGGUUUUUUUCAGACGAAAACGGAAACAAGAAAAGGACCAAUUCGAAGAGCUGACAGAACGGAUGACUGAAUAAGAAGUGAGUUGAUUAUUUUAUACAGCCAAUUCAUGUAAUGACAGAUCUGGUUUCGAUCUUUGUAAUUUAAAUGUAUUAUCAGUACGAGGUGAAGGACUUUUUUGUCGACUCAGUCCAACACAAAUUCAAAUUACUAAAGCAACGUGAUACUGGUUUUGAUCUCUGUAAAUUAAGCACAUCAAUACGAGGUGACUCUCACAAGACUUUUGAUGUGCUAUUGCCAGUCAAAUAUGAGACGAAAUCUGAAUAGACUCACUUAGUUGUGUUAUUAUUUAGGAGGUCGAGUCCAGAUAACAUCCAGCUCACUUGCUUUCUCAAUGACCAACAUUUUGUGAGCCAAGCGUUCGACUUCAAACCACUUAGUGCCUGUUUGGUAUGGCUUAUUUAAGAGCCAUAAGUGCUUAUUUAAUCGUAUAAGCACUUUUUAAAAUUUUUUAUGGUGUUUGGUUAUUUUUUUAGUAGAGUUUUUUUAGCUUAAAUAAGCUAAUUUACCUCUACUAACAAAAGCCCAAAAUUUGAGCUUUUGGGAGUAGAGGUUAUAAAGCUUUUCUAAAAAUAUCUAAUAUAAAAAAUAUCACACAAUUUAAUGGUUCAAAAGUACUUUUUUUAUUGACAACCAAACACCCAAUGACUUUUUGUCCAAAAGCUCUAUUGGUAUAAGCUCUAGUGCUAUAAGCUCUACUGUUAUAAGCUUUACUGUUAUAAGCUCUAUUUAAUAAGCUGUACCAAACGGAGCCUUAAUCUGAUUAGAUGAAUUUUCAAGCCGAAAAACAUGCUUUAAUUAAAAACAGAGACAGCAGGUGCCCUGUACUCAGGAUCCGAUCAUACAUAUACAAAGAAUAUCUGCUAUUAAGAAUUUCACAUCUCAAGUAGUUGAAAUUUAGUUUCGAAAGAAAAGAAUGGAAUAAUUGAUAAUAACAAUAAAUUACUAUAUCGCAUGCAUGUUCAGGUGACUUAAUUUGCAUUUACUCUUGCAAUGCCUGACGUGCGCACGUGAUCACAAAAAUAAACUUGAAUAGAAUCUCUCACAUUCACCAGAAAAUUGUUGCACAUAAUAAUAAUACAAGGGAUGCACAGAAAUGGUAAGUUCACACAUCUUUAGUUAAGAUGAUCAAAUGAAGGAAUUGCACACCUAUUUUUACGCUUCCAAAGCUGUAGCGACAGCGUGUAAGUUAAAAUACAAUUGAGGGUGCGUUUGGGAUUGAGGUUGGGCAGCUGUAGCUUAAAAGCUACAGCACUAAAAUGUUUGGUAAACACUAGCUGCUGUAGCUUUUAAGCUAUGUUGAUAUGAUUUUUCACUUGUAUAAUAUAAAAUUUAUUAUAUCUUUAAUAAUUUUAUCAAAAUUAUUAUUUAAAAUUUAUAUUUACUAUAUAUUAUUAACUUUUGUUUCAUAAUUACAGCUUUUUUUUCACAGCAACUGUAGCUUAAAAGCUACAGCACCUCAAUCCCAAACGCACCCUGAAACUAGUUUAGUCGAAGCUCUCAACAUGUGAUGUUUCGCAGAACGAAUACCAGUUUCAGAGAAAUAUUAUCUAAUUUUACACACCUUUCACGGAAUACCAAAAAAUAAAUGAUCAAAUAAAAGAUUACUACAAAAAUACAUUCCUAUCAAUCAUCAUAUAAUUUCAAACUAUAUCUAUUUUUUUUUUUUAGGUUAAUCGAAGGUUCCUGGAAGUUGCAAGUCCCUGCCGGUGUCAAAGGGAAGGUACCAAUCUCGUGUUCGUCCUUCCAAUGUCAAAGGGAAUACUCUGCACCUCUACGCUGGUGUUAGCCCCUGCACUCCAGUCAUGUCGUUGAAGUGCUCGACGUGCACCAGCGGACCACUUUUUCCUGAGUAUUUGAGGUCGAGAAAAUGAAAAUUUCUUGGCAUCAUAGUGCCCAUGAUUUCAGCUGAAAGCCGAGAUUAAUCAUCCAGCAUUAUUCUCCAACUGAGGGGCUUUCUCCUACCCUGCAUUUCGUCUAUUAUUUGUGCCAAUCACCAUACUUCUCCCUCCAGUUCCAAGGCUCGAGCAUGUGCUGCCUGAGCUCCCUUUUUUCGGUAUUCGCUCCUCUGCUACAACUUCCUAAGAUUCGUCCGUUGUGUAAUUGAUCUCUCCCUUCAUGCUCACAUUCUCUCAAAGUAUGAGUUCCAACUCCAUUGUUAGGCACCCCAUUGAGUUGUCCCCCUUAUUGAAGGGAUCUCCUCAUUUCUAUUCCUCCGAUGACUGGGCUUUGUGGCUGUUAAAGAUAUAAAUGUAAAGAAUAUUCUUGUAAUGGUUUUGCUGAUGUGGCAGCUGAGUAAGCAAGGUUGUUAUUGUUAGUUUGUAAGUUUGUUAUAGAGCUGGGAAAGUUAGUUAAUCACAACUUAUUCUUUACACGUGUGUGAGCAAAUGUAGAAGGUUCUGGAUCUCAGUAUAUAAGCUCACUUUCUAUACUCAUAAUUAGUUGAAUAAGAUUUGAUCUGUUUUUCUUAUAUUUUCUCUUAAUGCUCAUUAAAUUUUCCCUCACUUUCUCUGCAACCAAACAAGCACAAAUAACUUGAUUAAACUUCAAUUUGGUAUCAGAGCUAGAUUUAGUCUAAUCUCGUGGCGUUAUCACGCUUGAACACAAACAUCUCAUCUUCAGCCACAACCUUUACCUUCACACCUCCAAUAAAACUUGACUGAUCAAAUUACUUAAUCUGGAAAUCUCAAAUCCUAUCUUCAGUUCGAGCAAAUGAACUUGAAAGUUUGCUUGAUGGAUCCAGAAUCUGUCCAGAUCAAUUUCUCUCAAGCACUCAAGGAAAUGCAGAUGCUAUCUUCAAUGCUUCUGUAAGUUCAAUUGUUGCUUCACGAGAGAAUCCUGAGUUUGCUGUGUGGAGAAAGCAAGAUCAGAUGUUACUGAGCUGGCUGUUAUCCUCCAUCAGCGUUGAAAUCCUCAGUCUUGUGGUAAACUCUAAAACUUCCUAUGAACUGUGGUCUAGUUUAGAGCAACAAUUUGGAUCUGAAACUGUUGCUAAGAAAGUUCAUCUCAAAAUGAUGUUGAAUAAUUUGAAGAAAGGAUCUAUGACUAUGACAUAAUAUUUUAGUAAGUUGAAGUCAGUUACUGAUGAGCUUGCUAUUGCUGGAAGUCCUGUUAGUUCUUUGGAUUUUAUAACUCAUCUCAUCUCUGGAUUAGGUCAGCCUUAUUAUCCAGUAGUUGUGUAUAUUGAAGCAAAUGUUCUAAAAAUGAUUAUUAAUGAGGCUUAUUCAAUGUUGUUGACACAUGAGGCACGUUUAGAAAGUAAUCAAUCUAAUGCUUUCAAGGAAGUGAAACACAACUAUGCUGCUAACUUAGCUCAGGCUGGAAACAAUCAAAAGAAAAUUAAUAAUCAGGGAGGCUAGAAUAACAAUAAUCAAGGAGGCUGGAAUGGAAACACUGGAAACAAAACUGGAUUUAAUAACUAGAAUGGAAAUUUUACAAACAGAGGAGGUUUCAAUCCAGGAAGGGGGCAAAAUUCAGGCAGAGGACAAUGGACUAAUAACUGGAAUAACUGGAAUGGAAAUCAAGGUAGAGAUAAUUUUGCUGGUGCUGUUGGAAAUUUUUCUGGUGGAUUUCCUAGUGGUUUUAAUGGAUUUGGAAGAGGAGGAGGCAGAGGAAGUAUUGUUUGUCAGAUUUGUUUCAAGCACAAUCAUACUGCAGCUGAUUGUAAAGACAGAUUUAACAAAAACUUUGUUCCAAAUUUUUCUGUGCAAGGAAAUUUUCCAGGUCAGAAUCAAACUUCCAGAGUUGCUUUCACGGCUACAUCAGAAGGAGUUGCUGACCAAGGAUGGUAUCUAGAUAGUGGAGCAACACAUCAUCUUACAAACAAUGUAGAGAACUUAGCUGAAGGUAAACCUUAUUUUGGAUCUCAGUUGCUGUUAGUUGGUAAUGGACAAGGUCUUAGAAUCACUUACAUAGGCAAUAUAUGUCUCUUUAUAUCCUUAGGUAAUCAGUUAAACCUUUCUAAUGUUAUGUGUGUUCCCAAAAUUACCAAAAAUCUCAUUAACUUGUCUAAACUUCUCUCUGACAAUCAUAUAACCAUUGAAUUUGUUUCUAAUCUUUGUUUCAUUAAGGACAAGAUGCAAGGAACUUUGCUGGCACAGGGAAUUGCUGAAGAUGGUCUCUUUAAGCUAUUGCCUCAAGAUACACCUAUUCCUGAUUCUAAAGCUUCGGGUUUAAAACCUAGUUCAAUGUUGUCUGUUUUUUCAAAUAAAGAGAUUUUACACUCUUUGAAAGAGUUGAAUAACCAAACAAAUGUCUGUUCCAAUUUGAUCAAUUCUAAUAAUGAGAAUUCUGUCAGUUUUUUAGCUUCUAGUAGUGAGUCUAUGCAGUUGUUGCAUAAUAGGUUUGGUCAUCCAACCAAACAUGUUUUGCAAACAAUAAUGAUAAGUCUCCCCAUGCAUUCAAUCCAUUCUCAAUCUCUUAACUUUUGUGAUGCUUGUCAAUAUGGCAAAUUACAUCAAUUUCAUUUUCCAGUCACUGAUAUAAAAUCAAAAUUCCCUUUCCAACUCUUAUAUGCUGACUUAUGGGGUCCAGCUUCUGUGUUGUCCAUGGAUGGAUACAAGUACUAUAUUUCCUUUGUUGAUGAUUUCACAAGAUAUUGUUGAAUAUUUCCACUCACACUUAAAUAUGAGGCAUUUGAAACCUUCAAACACUUCAAGUCCCUUGUAGAAAAACAAUUUUCUUUAUCCAUCCAAACACUACAAACUGAUAUGGGGGGUGAGUUUAUAGCUUUCAAAUCAUUUCUACAAUAAGAAGGUAUUCAGUUUAGAUAUAGUUGCCCCCAUACUCACCAUCCAAAUGGUGUAAUUGAAAGGAAGCAUAAGCAUAUUGAUGAAACUGGACUCACACUCUUAGCUCAAGCUCACUUACCUCUCUCUUUUUAGUGGGAAGCUUUUCAUACAGCCACCUACUUAAUUAAUAGAAUGCCAACACCUAUUCUCAACAAUUUCUCUCCUUUUUAGAAACUAUACAAUCAGCUUCCAGAUUACAAAUUUCCUAAAGUGUUUGGUUGCUCAUGUUUUCCUUUUCUUCGACCUUAUAAUCAUCACAAGCUAGAUUUUCAUACUAAAAAAUGUGUCUUCAUUGGUUACAGUCCCAUUCACAAGGGCUACAAGUGUCUUGAUUGAACUGGGAAAGUUUUUGUUGCCAGACAUGUUACCUUCAAUGAACUGGAAUUUCCGUAUUCUGAACUGUUUUUGAAAAACAAGUCAAACAUAUUCUCUCAUUCUGAUAUCUCCACUCCAUCUUCAGUUCAUUUCUUUCUUCCUCAAACACCUAUUCUCAGUAAUAGUAGCAAUGAAGAGCCAUGAGCUGCAGUCUCCAGUCCUGCUUUGUCUUCUGCAUCAGAGUCUCAUUCCUUGCAAAAUUAUGUUCAUUCACAAUCCCUUGAUCUAUCUUCAAGACCUUCAAAUUCUUCUCAACCAGUACUCUCUACUCAUCAUAUGGUUACCAGAUCUAAAGCUGGUAUCUACAAACCCAAAACCUAUCUAGCUGUUUCUCAAGACCUUGAACCAUCCAAUGUCAAAACGGCAUUGGCAGAUCCUAGGUGGUACUCAGCUAUGAAAGAAGAAUUUGAAGCUCCCCAAAGAAAUCAAACUUGGUCAUUAGUGCAACAUCAUCCGUUGUCGCAUUUGCAUCAUAAGCCCUUCUUUGCUCGUUCCUUAACUCAUGUAAGAUGGCGGUGAGGGUCUCCAUCUGCCUCUCCAUACACUUUAUUCGCUCAUGCAUCACUCUUUCCCGUGCCUCAUUUACCAUCUCUCUUAGAGUGAUCGUCUCACUGGUCUCAUGCUUGUCUCCUUGGGCACUAUUCCUUCCUAUAUCCAUGUCCACACGCCUGCUUUUCCCUAUGAGUUGCUUUGCUAGUGGUAGCUUUUUGUUCAACUCCCCACAGACGAUGCCAAAAUGUUGAUGCUGAAAUAUGGUCGUACGUGGAAGGGUAACCAGGUUGUCUCGUCAACGCUUAAGUUUGCUCUGGGUGAGGCGCGAAGCUGCUUGUUCUCUCUCCAAUCAAAUGGGUUUAAUGACCUCAACUAACCUUGCUCCUUCUCUUCUGACCUGUACUCACACGAUUAGAUCAAAGGUGCCGGCGGUUUUUCCAGCGAGAACUCUCCAAUACUUAAGUUAGUAUGCAGGGUUUCGGAAAAAAAAAAAACGUUGAAUUAUCAAUCUAUCAAAACUAACAAUUCUUAAAUGAAGGAAGUGUUUCAGAAAGCUUUUUGGAAAUAAGUUCUAGAUCCAAAAUGGCAGAGUUUUCCCCCAUUUUUCCUUUUUUUUUCUUUUUUCCUUUUGUUAUUUUUUUUGGGUUUUUAUAGGCAGCCUCCCCAUGUAUCUAGAACAUCCCCACGUCUUCCAUAUUCGGGCCUUCAUGGGUUUAGAGGAUUUGUGAAAAUCGUGCAUCCGUUAUCGUGCCUUUUCCCGCAUGGUCGGGAAAUGGCGAAACCGUCGCCUAGAUAUGGUAUUGUAUCUGAUAUUUAAGGAAUAGUUCUCUGGUCGACUUUUAGCCAUACAUCAAAGAGGACCCUAGUACUAUUGUGUCUGCUCAUAAUACACCGACCCGAGGAGAUUCUUACCUCGACCAGGCGAAAGCAUGUGUGGCUGGUGCUCUGGUAGUAUAAUCACCCUAACAAAGACGAUUGAGUAUGUUGAUUGAGAUGGAGAAAGACUUGCAGAGUUGGGAGAUGUGCGUCGGCCCAAUGGUAACCGAUUAUUUGAUUUGUACAGCGGCAUUCACUGACUUUAUAUUUUUAAAAAAUUAAGUCAGCAGAACUAAAUGAACUGAGGUAGUGUGUUCGAUUAUAUUAAUUUCUUUUUCUUUUUCAUUGAAAUGAACGCAAAGAGUGGACGAAGAAUUAAAAAAACUUGCGCGAAAUGUGAGGUGAUGAUAAGAGUGAGAAUCCCAAAAUCGGAUCAUAAGUAGACCAAUAGAUUAUCCCACCAUCCAUAGAUUUCAUGAUGGGAUUCGUUUAUUCCAUCACGGAACCGAGCACCAGUAGAUUGUGCCACUGGCCACAACCUCAGCUCCCACGCAAAAGCUUAUCUCAUAUUUGAACAGUUGGCCCACUCCUUGAGUCGUUGGCUUUUCAGUCAACAAAAUAUCACAGAAAACUAAUUAAGGCCAAAAGUUAAAACGAAGAGGCCCCAUCCACCCAUGUGCUUCUAAUUAUAGAAUCUUCACCUAAUUUUCAAGAUUGAUAUUUGAAAUAAAAUUUGAUUAAAAAUUGACAAAAAUAUACUUAAAAUAAUGUCAUUUUAGGUGAAUUUUUUUUUCUAAAUUAGAACCAGAACGAUAUCAUUUUCAAUUUAUAUUUUUUAAAAUUCAAUUUUGUGCCUUAUUUUAGUCUUCCAAUCAUUUUUCAAAUUUCAAACAAAUGAUUCUUAUCUUAUUCAAUCUUUACCUUUUCCUUUUCUCAAAAGUAAACGAAAAUGAAAUAAAAAAGGUUAAAAAAAAAUAGUAAAUGAUGAGACUCGGAUCGGGUGGCUCGCAACUUGGAUGAAGAUUCCUGACAGUUGCUAAUGCCGUCCACAUCUUCCAACCUGCAAUUUGGAAGACCGUUCAAGCUUUCUACAGUAGCUUUUAAUUAAUGACGAUUAAGUUUUGAUUAUUUGACGUUCUUCGUAAAAUGAGAGUAUUUUGAGGUAAUUGAUCAAAUGAAAGAUUACCAUUCAUGAUCUAAUUCCCUAAAUAAUAAAAACACUUGGUCUCAGCUGACUUGCUUCAAAUCAUUAAAUAAUUCUUUUACUUGCUAUUAUUGUUCAUAAAAUAUAUACAAAAUUAGAGCUUGUGUGACUUUUUUUUAGGGUGAAAAUAUUUCUAACUCACACGCUUUACAAAAACUGAAGCCUUUCUUCUUCUUUUUCUCUUCCCCCCCCCCCCCCCCCCCCCCCCUUUCUUAAAUGACAAUUAUUGCAUAAUUGUGAACGAUUGCAUAUUUAAGCCUAAUUUCUUAAUGAUCUAGGUUACGAGUGUAGUAUAUAUACUAGAAUUUAAUAAUGAUGAUCUAUUAUUGAAAUAUAACAAUGGACUUUAGAUAAUAGGAAGAAAGCCCAUUUAUUACAUUAAUACAUUAUAUCAGUGAGAUGAUGCUAAUUUAAUGAAACUCAUGUCCCAAGUUAGGAACAGCUACAUGGGCAUUUCAUCGAACAGUUGAUAUGCUUGGCAGAUAAUCGAAUUUUCCUGGAAGUUGCAAGUGCUGCCGGCAUUUUCAAAAUUGGAAGACCAUUCAAAGGUUUUCAAUAAUUAGCUUUGAUAUUACACGUGUGAUAAUCUUGUGAUGAUGAUGAUUUUAUGUAUCUAAUUAUAAGCUAAGCUUAGUGGAUUUGUAAGUAAGCACACGGCAAAGUAUUUAACCUUCUUAUUGUCGCAUUCUUCUAAUCAAUUAGCUUUCACCAACAAAAAUAAUUAAUAAUAAUGUAAAUGGAGGAACUUGGGAUCAUUAACCAGGGAGGAUCCACAUGUUGUCUACAGUGAGCAAUUGACCAGUAAACUUUUAUUUUUCCAUAAUUUUCUAUAUAAAAUCUUCAUAUUUUCAUGAAAUUACAUAAUUUCUUAUAUAAUUGUCUCCAAAAAAUACCAAUAGGUGCACGAACACAAAUAUGAUGCACACAUCUCUUUAAUUAAUUUAGGGCUUAAAGAGAUUUUAAGAUGACUACAAAUUGAAUAUGGCAGAUCUUGGACACCAUCCAUAAGAAAUAAAACUAGUCUCAAAUUGGAUUUCUGAGUACUCAAACAAAGCUAAAAGAAAGAUAAUGAAUGAAAACUGAAACAAAAAAAUCCUCUCACCAACACCAUAUGACUCUUGAUAUAUAGAAAGAACUUGAGCUCGAGCCUUAUCCAAAAUGCUGCACAAGUAGCGGAAAUCCUCUUUAGAAGCUUGGACUAUCUGUAAACAAAGAGUAAAAACACAUUGAAGGUGCAGUUUUCACAUAAUUUAAUUGCACAAAUUAGCCUCUAUUAAGGACACAAAAUCUUUUAAUUCUCUCUGUAAGCAAUUAAUUUCUUUUUUUAUUUUUCGCUAUGUCUGUCUAACAACUAAUCCUCAACAUAACAACAGAGCAGAGUAGUUAUAUUUUAAAAAGAUGUACCAAUAUAAUUUAACAAAAAUUUCAAUAUAAAUAAAACAUUUUUAGUCAGCAAAAUAGAAUCAAAUCAAAACCUCCCAAAUUAUAUAGAUUUUAUCUUACCACUGUUUUUCGCAUCUUUCUCCUUUUCUUUCGCCUUGGCGGACUUCUCUUUCUCUUUUUCCUCCUUUUCCUAAUCAGAUUUAAAAUGAAUUUAUAAAAAAAUUAAUAUGUACUUUUUUCUUUUUACUUCUUUAUAUAUAUCUGUUAUUAAAUCAGUAAUUUUUAGAAAAAAAUAAAUAAAUCAACAUCUCAUGGUGAAUGAAUACUUACCUUUUUUCUUUUAAGAUAUACGUAUUGAAUGGUUGUAUUAAGGUCGCGAUCCCAAGCCCAAAGUUUAUUAUCAAACACGCUCAGCUGCACUUUCUGUAACUUGGGUGUGCUUAAUUCCCCUUCUGAGAAAAUCUUCAUAUUGGGGCAAUUUUUUACCACUAAUGUUUCCAGAGAUGGGAAUUUGAAGUCGCAAUUAUUCCCAGAGCAGCUGAAACUAGUCAGACUUUUUAAGUCCCAAAGCUUCAAUUCCUUUAAUUCGCUGAAAACAAUUUCAUCUUUUGCUGCAUAAUUAUCUCCCUGAUCAUCCUCAUCUGCCACUAUUUCUGUUAUCAUCCUGGAUGAUUGUAUACUCAUUUUUCUCAGUCGCACCAGACUCCUUGCCGUUGAGGAUGUUAGAACGUUGAUCAUUCCACGGCAACCACAUACCUUCAAAGUUGUUAGGUUCUGAAAGGAUGUCGAGGAUGGCACUAGAUUAGUCAAAUUGUUACACAUGAAUAUCUCCAGCUGUUCCAAAUUGUUGGUAUUGGUUGACACUUGUUUGAAAAUCUGCUUCAGUUCACGACGCUGGUUUAUUCCCCUCAUCAUUGCUUUCAUCCCAUUUUCAAGCUUUUCAAAUGAUCUGUACAAAGGCCCAUUGUCCCCUCUUAUAGAGAGAAUUUUGAUGGUGUGAAAUCUAUGGAGGAAAUCGUCAAGUGAUAAAAUAGUACUUGACUCAUCAAGCCCGACAUCUAGAUAUUUAAGUUUGCAAAGCCAGUCUUCUGGAAAUAGGCCUAUGUGCUUUUCAUCAACACUCAAUUCUUCCAAAUUGGGGAACACCUGGGUGAUCAUCAAUCACGAAAAAAGCAAGAUGGAGUUAACACUUCUUUCUUACGAUUUCACAAAUUAAAGUAAAUACAAAGCAUUCCAAUGAUGCAUAUUGAUGGCCGGACAAAUUUAUAUAUAUGCGGAGAGAGCAUGAUUUUCAGCUGUAAAAACAAAGCAUUCCAUUUAAGUAAUGUGUAUUUUCUUCCAUUCUCUCCUCUUAACUCUUGUCCAGUAGAUAGAUUUUCAAAUUUUAUUAGAUUUGUGCAUAAUCUCUAUGAAAAAAGACUUCAAUUAUUCUCAAAUUGCAUUUAAACUUUGAGAUUCUUUUAAUUGAUCCGUUUAUUUGGUUUGAAUUGAAAAUCUUACAAAUUUCUAUAUAUUUAAAAAAAUAUUGGAGUUUUAACUUUUUCUUAAAGCAAAAAUGAAUAAAUAAUAUGAAUUUUAAAAGUUUAAUAAUAUAGUAAGAAGUUGGUAUUUCAUUAAUAUUCAUCCAACUCAAUGGAAUUGGAUAUAUUUACUAUUGUGCAAGAAUGGAUUUUAUUGUACAUAAAGUUUAAUAGAAUAAGAUUUCUUAAUUUGAGUUUUGUCCAUCUUUCUAUAUAUAUUUCAAAAAUAUUAUUUAUGUUACCACGAGAUGACCAAUUUCUACUUCAACAUCAAAAUUGAUAAUCAUUUUGUAUGUAACAAUAUUGUACAAAGGAGUACUAAUUUGGAAAUAGCUCUUGAACGAUUUUCAGGGAAUUAACUAUGGCUUGAAAAACUCUAGAUCUUAUGAGUAUUUUCUUUGUUUGGCUAAUCAAAUGCACUGUCCCUUCCGUGUAUUUAACUAAACAUGUAGACAUAAAAUAAAAAGUAGAGGAAGAAGAAAAACUCUGAUAAUUAAGAGAAAAAAAAAAUUGAACAAGAAGGAAAAAAAUAAUUGUUUACUAUAUAUCUUUUUUUUUUUCAUUCGGUCUAACUGACAUCCAAAAAAAAAAAAAUUAUGUUUGUAAGGAUAUUAUAAAGUAUAAUUAAAUAAACUGAUUUAUAGAACUAACAUUUUGUUACUAAAAGACGAAGUGAUGAGGGCGAGGAAGACAAUAAAACUCUGAACUCUCAAAGUAGAAAUACUUUUCAGUCCGUAAGAAUUGAAAAAUAAUUACAAAAAUCUCGCACGCGUACCUUUUCAAUAUGCAGAUCACCUGUGCAGAAGCUUGUAAGCUGCGGAAGAGAACGAAGCUCAAGUUUCCUUAAUUGAGUGAGUUCAAUCACUUCAGUACCGUUAUUAUUGCUGGAUUCGUCUCCUCUCUGGGCAGCAAAAAUCACUUCCAUAUUUUGGCAACUACUCACUUUGAAGGACUGAAGUUGUUGAAGGCCUCUGCCAAUGACCAAUGGAAAUACUUUUUUCAAUUUAUCACACCCUUCCACCUCUAUGGUCUUUAAUUUGCAAAAAGACUCUGCUGUGAGUGGACCACGACAUAUUUCCUCAAGGUUCCUUAAAUCUUCCAAAAAUAAUGACUCCAACAGGGGGAAUGCAGUCGUCGGAGCUGGCGUACAAUCCAUUGUGUCAACAAGACGAACAAUGUUGCCAUUACGUCGGAUUUCGAGACGCUUCAGAUGUGGAAAACCUUCUCUGCCUAGUUCACAAAGAAUAUUCUUAAUGUCCGGCAAUCCAUCCAAACUUAGGUCUUCAAUACCCUUCAAUUGCAUGAUAUGCCCCUCGUUCAAGCAAAUGUUGUCACCAUUGGUGAGCUUCAGUCUGAAUAUUCUAGAAAUCCCAUAAGAUGGGCCAACCGACCACCAGUCAUAUACUAUCAAUAUCCUGUACCUUCGCAGCAUUUUGAAGAACGACAAGUCACUCGGUAGAUUCCCUGCAUCUUGGAUGAAUAUUUCUAAAGAAGUCAAUUUAGAUAAACGAUUCAACUCAUGAAGGCUGGCAUUUCUUCUUUCAUCGUCGACUUCAUCAACCUUCCCCCACUCAAUGGGACUCUCACCAACAUAUAGUUCUUCUAAUCGGGAUAAGCUCGAUAAGACAUUAGGGGGAAUAACUCUCAGUCGGUAACAUCGGCCCAAAUCCAACAACCUCAAUUGAGUCAGCUCGCCCAUUUCUUCAACUAGUUUCUCCAUAUCAGAACCUCGAAGUGUAAGUAUUUCUAAUUUCUUCAGGUCUCCAAUAAUAGCUAUGUCUCCUAGUAUACAAAAAUCCAGAGACAAUGUUUGAAGGUUUUGUAAGAGACCAAGCGAUGAAGGCAAUGCCGACAAAUGCAUCUUAGAGAAAUCUAAAACUCUAAGCUCUGUCAUCCCGGUAAAAAUGUUAUCUGGAAUUCUCAAAGAAGGAUCAUUGCGAAUAUGAAAGUAUUUAAGUUGCGGACACUCGAACCCUUGAGGAAGCUCACUAAUAUUACUAUUCUUUAAGGAGAUUGCGGUGCAAACCUUCAGUGUAUCCUUAUCUGGCCAGCUGGUCAGCGGAACAACCUCAUUUUCCACCGCAAACACAUGUUGGACCCUAGAUGCAAUUGAUAUGGCAACAUCACGAACAACAUCAUGCAUAGAAAACCUUUCACUAGUAUCGCCAUCAAGCAGCAAGCAAGAGUUCUUGAGUUUAUCAACCAAUGUAUGUGCUCUAUCCCGUGCCUCUUCCAACGUGUUGAUGUUUUGAAACAGACCCAGACCCAUGCCAUAAUAGAUCACGUCUUCAACGCAAGAGAUGAACGAGUACCCUAUUAGCAAAAACGUUUUCCUGAGUUCCUCACCUUCUAAAUGAUAGUAACUCAGCUCUAAACUUGAAUAGGCGGGCCCCAAAAAAGACUUAUUUUUCAAUUGUCGUAAAGCAUCCUUCCAUACAUAGAGACUCGACUUAUUUUUCAAUGCCUUUGCUACGGGUACAAUGGCAAUGGGCAAACCAGCACAUUCCUUGACUAUCUCUGUUGCGACAGAUUUCAGUUCACCAUUUUCUAUGCAAUCACCUGUCAUCUUCUUGAAAAGACUCCAAGCUUCUUUUUCGUUCAGAACAUCAACAAAAAAAUUUUGUUCACAAUCCAUUUUACAAGACAACACAUCUUGACUUCUUGCUGUCAGCAGAACUUUACAUCCGCCGUUAUCAUCUGCCAAUGGAAUUCCAAUGGCCUCCAAAUCAAGACUCCCCCAAAUAUCAUCCAAGAUUAUCAGGAUCUUUGUCUCUUUCUUCAAUCGUUCAAGCAGCCUCCCUGCUCUUACAGUUUCAUGACUCUGUUCAGCCAAUUCUAAGCCUAUCUUCUCUGCGAUUUCUCCUUGUAUUUCUUUUGUUUGCAGUGUUUGGGAAACACGUGAAGAAAUGACCUUCUCAAAGAGAUUAUUUUCCUUGGCCUGUCUGCCAACUUCUUUCACCAGCGUUGUCUUUCCAAUGCCACCCAUCCCGUACACCCCAAUCAUGUUGAAGUUACGGUUGCUGAGUGCGUCUAGUAUCUCCUUCAAGGUGGACUUUCUCGAUUCAAAGUGCAUGAAAUCCUGGGUAGACUUAAGCCAUGUCUCCUCUGGAAUGGUACGGAAGGAAACACUGUCGAAUCUCCCUUUUUCAUGGAGUCCAACUAUAGCAUUCGCUUCUCUUUCUGCUUUCUUGCUAAGCUGGUACCGAGUCUUCAAAUUAGGACACAACCCUUUCAGACACCGGUUGUUUGACUUCUCUUUGUCUUCAAUAAGUGUUUCGACUUCGUUGAUUGCCUCGUCCACAGUAAUCAGCCACUCCUCAACGUGCUGUUGAAUUCCGUCCCCUUUAAUUCUGGAAUCAGCAACCUUAUGUUGCACACUGUCUCUAGCAUUCUUGAGCUUAUCGACUUCAUUAUUCAGCUUCUCGAAGUUGGUCUUGUAAGUGCAGCAGUAAGUAAAUGGAUGAAUUAUGGGAGCAACCAAGUACUCUGCAACUUUUGCAGCAACGGGGAUAACAAUAUCCAUUAUCCCUUUUUUUUUUUUUUUUUUUUUUUUUCUUUCAGAAAACAGGGGAAAGCAAAACUAAUCAAACUGAGCAGAACUAAUCAAUCAGCUGGGAAGAGGGAAAUAAGAAGUUUGGAUAAAUUGCUAAAAUAAGAGGUUGAAUAGAUUUAAGGGAGGAGGAGAGGAAAAGAGUAAAAAAUCUAGAGAUUAAAGAAAGGGGGAUCCUUUUUCUGCCAAGACAAAUUGAAAAGCGAGUGCAAUGAAAGAUUUUCAAAGAAGGUAUAGGAUCGAGGACAAGGAUUAUUAAGAAAAGGGAGACAGAAACUGAAGAAGAGAUUUCAGAGAACUCCAGAGAUUAGAGAAGAGGGAUGAUUAGGAAAAUGCGGAGGCAGGCAGUUGUGAUCUCAAGUCUCAAGGGUCAUCUGAAUAAUGCAAAAAAGCCAAACUAAAUUCAAACAGGGAGAAGACUCGUGCUUCCAAGUCAACUAUAGAUUCUUAAUAACUGAGAUAGAUGGUUAUAGUUGCAUGUAGAUAGUGUCAAAGUUAUAGGUCAAUUGGACAGCGCAAGGUGGCCUUUUGGCAUUUCAUUGAAUUUUCUUGUUACCAGUAAGUGCUAUGCUGCCGUUGCCGGCCUUUAUGAUUUUUUUUUUUGAAUUUUUAUUGAAUUUUCUUGCGCUUUUCUAAUAACUCCGCUAUAAAGCCCAUGUUUCGGGCCUUUAUGAUUUUUUAUUUUUUUUAAGAAAUAGAUAUACAAAUAAAAUGAAAAAAAAAAAAAAAAACCUGUUGCGUGGUCGUGUGGGUCCUCGAAAUCACUUCGGCAUUUAAUGGAGCGGUUGGAUGUACUCAGCAUCUACACUUCCACGAAGGUUCCUGGAAGUUGCGAGUGUUGCCGGCAUUUUCAAACUCGGAAGGUUUCAAGAAUUUUUCUUUUCUUUGAAAUAAAGGUUUCAAUAAUUAGCUUUGAUUAUUAUGUAAUAUACGAUAAUCUAGUGAUGACGACGACUUAUAUAUGUGAUUAAAUGCUAAGCUGGUGGAUUUGUAAGUAAGAACACAAGGCAAAGCAUUUUUAUCUUCUUAUUACCACAUUCUUCUAAUCAAUUUGCUUUCACCAACAAAAAUAAUCAAUAAUUUUAAAUAGUUGGAUCUUAAGCUCAAAUUUUGACAAUACAUGAAUGAUAAUGCAUACUUAUUUUUCAAGUGCAAACUCUAUUCAAGAGAGGAUCUCAAUUUUCUAUUAUAGAAGAUCUAUUCGAGAGAAGAUCAUAGUUAAAGCUUUGCGUUGAUUGGGGAACAUCAAAUACAAACAAAGACCACGCUAAAAGAAAAGCAAAAGCUGGCGAGAUUGAUAAAGAAAGACUAAUAAAGCUUUCCUUAACAGCAUUAAUCAUGAUUAUUUGAUAAACUAGAGGUGAUCACUGACAUUCAUGAGAAAUUUAACGGUAGGAAAAAGAAGUUAAAAAAAAUGGACAUUCGUGGGAAACCGGCCUUGAUGGUUAAUGUGCAACCGGAUGUGAGCAAAAGGUCACGUAGUGAGGGCAUUGUCACAUGGUUGGAGAAAUUGACAGCAUUUUUAAUUGUUGUCAAUGAGGUUGGUGAAGGUAGGAAAAGAACAAAUUUGGGUUAUUCCAUUGUUUUGGGAAAAACAUUGAAAGCGGUGAAAGAAAAUGUCAAUGAAAAUUGGUCGGAGCAGUACAAAGAUCAGUUAUGAAGAAUAUUAGGGAAAUGAAAAACUGAAAAAACAAAAAUCAAGAAAUAUGAAGAGACCAGUGAAGGGGACAUGGCAGAGGCCAAUUUAUAAAAGUAAUUGCAGAGGCGAAUUUGUAGAACUGAAAAUAGGGAGAUGAGUUGUAGGUGGGAAGAUAUGAAAAAUAAUAUACUUAAAAUUAUAUCAUUUUAGGUUAAUUUUUUUAAAAAUAAAACCAAAACCACAUCAUUUUAAAUAUAAUUCUUUAUCAAUUUAUUUUUUUUGUCUCCAAUCAUUUGCUAAACCAUAUCAAACAGGUACUUAUUCAAAUUUUACAUUUUCUGUUCUCAAAAGUAAACGAAAAUGAAAUGAAAAAAAGAAUGAGACUUGGCUCGGGUGGCUAAUGCUGACAGUGGCUAAUGAUGCCGACAUCUUCCAACUUGCAACAACGUUAAAAAUACGUAGCCUUAACUAAUUGCCUAAAUAAUAAAAAUACUUAGCCUCAGCUGACUUGUUCCAAAUCAUUAAAUAAUUCUUUUAAUUAUUAAAUAAGUUUGCUCUUGCUAAAUGCUAAUGGAUACUGAGCAGAAUGUCAAAGACGAAUAACUGCAUUUGGAAUAAAAAUAUUUCGAUAUUAGUUUGAAGGAAAAGUCUAGUAUUAAAUUGUUCUUCAAAUAUGUACAAGCUCAGAUCUUGUAAUUUGUAUGACCUUUUUUCGAAGAUGAGAAUAUUUCUACCUUACACGCUUUAGAAAAACUAGGUGAUAGGAAAAGAGUGUAGGAUAUAAAUUAAAGCUUAAUAAUAUUAUGAUCAAUUACUGAAAUAUUACCAUGGGCACUAGAUGAUAGGAAAAUAGCUCAUUUAUACAUUAAUAGAUUAUAUUAGUGAUAUAAGGACUUUUAAUCAAACUCAUGCCCCAAGUUGGGAACAGCUAAACGGGCAUUUCAUCGAACAGUUGAUAUUUGUAAGUAAGCAAGCACACGGCAAAGCAUUUGAGCAAAUAUUUUUAUCUUCUUAUUGUCGCAUUCUUCUAAUCAAUUAGCUUUGACCAACAAAAAUAAUUAAUAAUGUAAAUGGAGGAACUUGGGUUCAAAUCUAUAAAUUAAUAUCGGUAAACUACAACCCUAUUUUGAUCAAAGUUUUCAACUCAACAAAUAUAGAUUAGAGAUUAUUUGUUAAUAAAAUAUAAAAGAGCCCAAACAAAAAAAGAUUUGACAGUAUACGAAUAAUAAUUUAUACUUAUUUAUUGAAUAUAUCUUAUUUUAAUCGCUUAAGGAAUUACAAAGUUGAUGAAAAAAAAUUUAUUUUUUUUAUUUUUCACUUCUUAAAAAUUUUUGGAUGAAGAGAAUCCUCAAUCUUCAUUUACGUUCAGUGGUGGAUCCACACGGAGCCUAUAGUGGGCAAUUAAUUGACUCCCGUAAAUUUUUUUUUCCAUAAUUUUCUAUUUAUUUUUGAUAUUUUCAUGAAAUUACAUAAAUACUUGCAUAAUUGCCCCUAAUAAAUACAAAGUCUAUCAAUUUCAUUAAUUUUUUUUUAAUUAUUGUGUUGUCCCUUGUAAGCCAAAUUUUUAGAUCCGCCCUUUAAAUAGGUUGUUACAUUUAUUGUUCUCAAAAGUGAUGACUUCUCCUAGUAUGAAGCUCCUACCAUAAGAAAAAGGUCUCCAUAAAACAUUUCGAGCUUUAACUAUGAUCUUCGGUACUGAUCUAACUUUUUUUAGUCCCCCCCAAAAAAGAAGCCUAUAUAUAUAUAUAUAUGUAUAUUGUAACACAUUAGGACAUGAACUUGAAGCUUCUCAAGUGUUUAUGCAAUCCGGUUAACAUAUACAAGUUAUGAUAGGUAAAAUUGCUAAUAAAUUUAGAAGCCUAAAAUAUGGAAUUUGAUUAAGACUUACUAAUUAUUGGAGCAUUUUUUUCAUCUAGUUUUUGGAGAUUGAAAGAACUUAAAAUUACAGGUGAUCAUAUCUUAAUUGGCAGACUCUUGAUGCUGAUAAAUGACAAAAGUCGUAGAUUAGAGAGUUCUACGGAUUGAGUAGCGACUUGAGACAUUGUACAAUUUGUUCCAAUGCGAAUGAUUCAUAGUGACUGCACAUAUGGCACCUUUUUGUCGAAAUGACACAAUUUCUCUUCAUUGUGCUAGAGAAAGGUGGGUAGAUUUCUGUUGUACAAGCAUUAUUGGAAGAGAUAUCAAGCCACUCAAUGUUCAGAUGGUCCAAACAUGUGUUCAGGAGGCACUAACAUAGCAGAAAUUGAGAUAGUUUUAGUUUCAUCAUACACUAAAAAAAUAUACACCAGAGAUGGAGCGAGGUGUAGCGGAAGCGAAAAUUGAUAGGAUAGGAAACACUAGUUAUCAUUUUAGUACAGGAUUAAGCCAACGCGAUUAGGUUAUACUCUAAUCGAAGCGUGAUUAGAUAUCGUUUUAAUCCAAACGACUCAAUGGGAUUUUUAAUAACACGUGAUGUGAGAUUAGAUGACGCUCUAAUCCAAACGACUCUACAAGAGAGAUUUUGAUAGAUAAUCCCAGAGGGAAUUAUAAAAUGGGAGUUUUAUUGAAUAAUUGAAUCUGAAGUGCUCAAAACAAUGACAAGAUCUCUCUAGUUAUAAUAGAGGAAACCCACUUUCCUAAAUUAACCUAAAAGGGAAACUGAAUCACAAUUAGAAUGGAAAUAAAAGACUAAGAUACAUACCAUAAUUGACUCAAACUAAAAUAGGAAAUCCUAAAACAAUAAAUAUUCUAGAAUCCUAAAUUACCUAAAAUAACGUAAAUUAACUUCCUACAUCAUUCUUCCCCUCUUAAAAGAAACUCGUCCUUGAGUUUGAAUACAGUCUGGAGGAUGAAACUUAUAGUGUAUGAGCAAAUCAUCUUGUAAUUUGAACUUGUAGCCUUGCUCAUCAAUCUUCCUCGAAACUUUGAAGUAUCCUAACUUCAUCAACUUCCUUCGCUUGUACAUUCUUCGAGUCGAUGACGACUUUCAAGAACGAACAAUGAUCAAAUAACUCUUGCACUUCCCCAAUUGUCGCUCAAUGCGCUCGCCAAUAAGUUUCACCUUUUCAACCAAAUCUUCUUCAAGCACAAUCUUUUUUUCUUCAAUGUGAAUAGGCAGAACCAUUUCAAUCAUUUCAACUUCUUCACCUUGAUUUUGUUGUACAACCUCGAUCGUAUUGUUAAGCUCACUGCUUAAAUUAAGUGCAGAUUAUAUAUCUUCUUUAAAAAUAUCAAAUAGAUCAAUAAUAUCAUCAUCUUCAACACUUAUCUUCUCUUCCAAGGAAACAUCACGCACAUUCUUGAACAACUUGUCAGAUUGAAACCUUAAAUCAAUAACAAAUUGUACAUUUUCUUCUGGCAACUCAUGCGAGUCUUCUUCCUUAACAAUAGGAGAACUCAUUGGUACAUCUUUGGGCACUUUCAUGGUGACACGCCAUUUCUUGCUUAAAUUCUGGAUUUCGUCAAGUUUUUUAAUCACAUCAUCAAAGUUUCUUUGACGUUGCGACUUAAUUUGCGAUUCGAUUUUCUUGGCUAAAUGAAUUGCAUGCUGUAAAUUAUAGAUAGUGUAUAUAGGCAUCCUUUCUUGAAUAUGCAAAUCAAGCCCUUUAAUAAAUCUUGUAAUUGUAUUCUCUUCAGGCUCAUAAUAAUAAUGGCAUCCAUAAAAUCGUUCAAACUCAUAAGCACAAGCAGAAACAGAUCUCGUACCUUACUGUACCAAACAAUAAUCAAGAGGAAUAAACUCAGAUCGCAAAAUAUGCUUCAUACGGUUCCAUGAUUGAACUUUGCAUUUGCCUUGGUCAAGUCGAGAAAUUUGCAACUCAUCGCACCAUUCUGAAGCACUUAUGCUUAAUCUACUGGCAGUAAACGAGACUUGCUUUUCUUUAGGAGUGUGCCAAAAUAGAAACUAGUGCUUAACCUUGUCCAACCAAUCAAGAAAUUUGUUUGGACGUGUAUUUUGUAAAUAAUAUCGGCACAUGAUAAAUAGGAGGGCAAUGAUGGUAGCUUGCCAUUUAAGUUUCCACACAAUGGCAAAAUUGUAAUUAAGGCUCAACUCUCGGGUUUGGUAUGGUCGGCAGCUGGUGGCCGUGAUUGGGACCAGAGGGUAUCGGAUCUGGGAGAUUUGGUGAUAAGGAACUCGAUGAUGGUCGUGGAUCGGGCAGAUUCGCUGCGUUUUGGUCGGAAAUCUGACUUAAAGUGGCGGCUGAUUUUGGUGAUGUGGCUUUUGGUUUAUGGCGGCCUUACGGUGGCGGACGGCUGGAUUUAUGGUCGCCGAUUGCUAGGGAUUAUGGUGGUGGUAGUGCAAAUUGACCGAAAAAGGGGGUGGUUUGGUGGCGGCGCAUGUGGGAAGCACUCGUGGGUUGUCGUUUCGUGUGGUGGCUGCGGGCGGCGAUCAAGGGCUGAAGUUGGUCGGUGUUUUGGUUAGUGGAGGCCUGCAAGCUUGUUGGUAGAGGUGGUUGGCUGUGAAAGUGGCUGAAUGGUGGUGGAUUGCUUGGUGGAGCCGCGGGUUUGGGUUGGUGAUUUGCGGCGGUUGAGGCGGCGAUGGUUGAGGCUUGGUCGGCAGUGGCUAGCGAGGUUUGUGGUGGUGUUGGCUGGCUGAUCGGUGGUGGAAGUUGAUGUGGUGGCUAGGGUUUUCAAAUUUGUAAAGUUUUGAUUUAUUUUAUUUUAUUUAUUUAUUUUUUGUGAUGGAUCUGAUGUGGAUGGAUAUGGGUAGUCAGGAAAGUUGUGCAAUUCGCACAAAACUGCUCUAAUACCAACUAAUGGAGCGAGGCGUAGCGGAAGCGGAAAUUGAUAGGAUAUGAAAUACUAGAUAUCGUUCUAGUACAGGACUAAGCCAACGCGAUUAAGUUAUGCGCUAAUUGAAGCAUGAUCAGAUAUCGUUCUAAUCCAGACAACUCAAUGAGCUUUUUAAUAACGCGUAAUGCGAGAUUAGAUGACUCUUUAAUCCAAACAACUUUACAAGAGAGAUUUUGAUAGAUAAUCCCAGAAGGAAUUAUAAAAGAGGAGUUUUAUUGAAUAAUUGAAUUUGAAAUGCUCAAAACAAUGACAAGAUCUCUCUAUUAGAGGAAACCCAAUUCCCUAAGUUAACCUAAAAAAGAAACUAAAUCACAAUUAUAAUAGAAAUAAAAGACUAAGAUAUAUACCAGAAUUGACUCAAACUAAAAUAGAAAAUCCUAAAACAAUAAAUAUUCUAGAAUCCUAAAUUAUCUAAAAUAACGUAAAUUAACUUCCUACAUUAUUCAAUACAUCAAUAACAAGUGCACAAACACAAAUAUGAUACACUCAUCUCUUUAAUUAAUUCAAGGCUUAAAUACUCUUUCGGUUGAAUCCAAAUUGAACAUGGUAGCUCUUGGACACCAUCCAUGAGAAAUAAAACUAGCUUCAAAUUAGAUUUCUAAGUACUCAAACAAAGCUAGAAGCAUAAUAAGUUAGAUUUCUAAUUACUCAAACAAAGCAAGAAGCAUAAUAACGAAAUGAAGAAAGAAACAAAAGGUCCCCUCACCAACGCCAUCUGACUCUUAGUAUAUAGAAAGAACUCGAGGCCUUAUUCUAGAUGCUGCACAGAAGGUUGGCCCGCAUUGUCUUCAUAAGUUUGGACUCUCUAUAAACAAAGAGCAAAAACACAUUGAAGGUGUAGUUUUCACAUAAUUAAAUUGCACAAAUUAGCCUCCAUCAUAACCAGUUAAUGCUUAAGAACACAGAAAUCCUUCAAUUCUCUCUAUAAGCAAUUACUUUCAUUUUUUUCAAUUUCUUGUUCGCUAUAUCAUAUCUAAUAGCUAAUCUUCAACAUAACAAUACAGCAGAGUAGUUAUGUUUUAAAAAGAUGUACCAAUGUGAUUUAACAUAAAUAAAACGUAUUUAAUCAGCACAAAAAUAAAAUCAAAACCUCCCAAUUUGUAUGGAUUUUACCUUGCCACUGUCUUUUGCAUCUUCCUUCUUUUCAUUAGCCUUGUUGGGCGUCUCAUUCUUUUUUUUCCUUCUCUUCCUAAUCAGAUUUAAAAUGAAUUUGUCAAAAAUUUGAUGGGUACUUUUUCUUUUUCCUUUUUUAUAUAUAUCCGUUAUUGAAUCAAACUUUUACAAAAAAUCAACAUCUCGUAUUGAAUGAAUACAUACCUUUUUUUUUAAGAUAUAGGUAUUGAAUGGUUGUAUUAAGGUCGCGAUCCAAAGUCCAACAUUCUUCAUCAUCCCACCGUUUAAGCUGCACUUGGUGUAACUUGGGUGUGCUUAAUUCUCCUCCUGAGAAAAUGUUCAUAUUGGGGCAAUUAUCCACCACUAAUCUUUCCAGAGAUGGGAAUUUGAAGGCGCAAUUAUUGCCAGAGCAGAAUCCUGUCAGACUUUCUAAGUUCCAGAGCAGCAAUUCCUUCAAUUCGCUGAAAACAAUUUCAUUUUUUGCUGCAUAAUUAUCUCCCUCAUCACCGUCAUCUGCCACUAUUUCUAUUAUCAUCUUGCAUCUACCUAUGCCCAUUUCCCUCAGUCGCACCAGACUCUUUGCAAUUGAGGAUGUUAGUACAUUUAUCAAUCCUAUGCAAUUAUAUACCAUCAAAGUAGUUAGAUUUUGAAACGAUGUCGAGGAUGGCACUAGAUUAAUCAAAUUGUGACAGUCACAUAUGUCCAGGUUUUCCAAAUUGUUGGCAUUGGAGGACUCUUGUUUCAAAAUUUGCUUCAGACCACGAUGCCGGUUUAUUCCUCUUAUCAUUGCCUUCAUCCCGUUUUCAACCUUUCCAAAUAGUCUAAAAAUAUACUCGUCUCCUCCUAUAAUGAGAACUUUGGUUGUGUGAAAUCUCUGGAGGAAAUCGUCGAGUGAUAAAAUAGCUGUUGACUCAUCAAUCCAGACAUCAAGAAGUUUAAGUUUGCAAAGCAAGUCUUCUGGAAAUAGACCUAUGUACUUUUCAUCAAUACUCAAAUCUUCCAAAUUGGGGAACAUCUGGGUGAUCAACAAUCACAAAAAAAAAAAAAAAAAAGCAAGAGGGAGUUAAAUCUUCUUUCUAACGAUUUCAAAAAUUAAAGUAAAUACAAAGCAUUUCAAUGAUGAAUAUUGAUGGCCGGACAAAUUUAUGGAUAUGUAGAGAGAGUAUGAUUUUCAGCGGUAAUUAUUUUCUUUUUUUUUUCAAAUAUAGUAAGUGAUGUGUAUUUUUUUUUUCAUCCUCUCUUCUUAACUUUCAAAUUUUAUUAGAUUUGUGCAUAAUGUCUACAAAAAAGACUUCAAUUAUUCUCAAAUUGCAUUUGAACUUCUAGAUUCUUUUAAUCGAUCCGCUUAUUUGGUUUCAGUUGAAAAUCUUACAAAUUUCUUUUUUUUUUUUUUAAAUUGGUUUUUUUAACUUUUUUCUUUUCAAGAGCAAAAAUGAAUAAAUAACUUGAUUUUAAAAAGUUUAAUAAUAUAGUAAGAAGCUGGUAUUUCAUUAAUAUUCAUCCAACUCAAUGGAAUUGGAUAUAUUUACUAUUGUACAAGAAUGGAUUUUCUUGUACAUAAAGUUUAAUAAGAUAAGAUUUCUUCAUUUGAGUUUUGUCCAUCUCUCUCUUUAUAUUUUUAAAAAUAUUAUUUUUGUUAACACAAAAUGACCAAUUUCUUCUUCAACAUCAAAAUUGACAAUCAUUUUGUAUGUAACAAUACUGUAGUAAGGACUACUAAUUUUAAAUAGCUCUUAAAAGAUUAUCAGGGAAUUAACUGUGGCUUGAAAAACCGUAGAUAUUUUGAGUAUUUUCUUCGUUUGGCUAAUCAAAUGCAGAGUCUCUUUCGUGUAUUUAACUAAACAUAUAGACAUAAAAUAAAAAGUAGAUGAAGAAGAAAAAAACUGAUAAUUAAGAGAAAAAAUUUGAACGAGAAGGAAAAAAAAAUACUAAAUAAUUUUGUAUUCAUUCUUUCUAACUGACAUCCAAAUCCAUCUAUGGUUGUAGCCAAUUCAAUAUUCGAUAAUAAGAAGAAUUAUUGAAGAAUGAUAAUUAUGUUUAUAUCGAAUAUUGAUAAUUAUGUUUAUAAGGAUAUUAUAUUAGUAUAAAUAAGCUGAUUUAUAGAACUAACAUUUUGUUACUAAAAGACAAAUUGAUGAGGGCAAUAUAUGGCGACAAUAAAGCUCUAAACUCUCAAGUAGAAAUACUUUUAAGUACGUAAGAAUUGAACAAUAAUUACAAAAGUCUUGCACGUACCUUUUUGGUGGUCUCAUGAAUAGUGCUUUUAAAUUUCACAUGGGGACAUCCCCUUAUUAUUAAUUGUUUCAAGGAUGGAAAUUCAAAAUGCAGAUCUCCUGUGCAGAAGCUUGUAAGCUGCGGAAGAGAACCAAGUUCAAGUGUCCUUAAUUGAGUGAGUUCAAUCACUUGAGUGAUAUUAUUGCUGGAUUCAUCUCCUCUAUCGGCAGCAAAAAUCACUUCCAUAUUCUGGCAUUUUGUCACUUCAAUGGACUGAAGUUGUUGAAGGCCUCUGCCAAUGAGCAAUGGAAACACAUUUUUCAAUUUAUCACACCUUUGCACCCUUAUGUUCUUUAAUUUGCAAAAGGACUCUGCUGUGAGUGAACCACGACAUAUUUUCUCUAGGUUACCCAAAUCUUCCAGAAAUAAUGACUCCAAGAGGGGGAACGCUGUCAGCGCUGUUGCACAAUCCACUGUGUCAACAACACAAAAAAGGCUGCGAUUAUCUCGGACUUCGAGAUGCUUCAGCUGUGGAAAACCUUCUCUGCCAGGUUCACAAAGAACAUUCUUCAUGUCCAGCAAUCCAUGUAAAGAUAGGUCUUCAAUACCCUUCAAUUGCAUGAUAUGCCCCUCGCUCAGGCAAAUGUUGGCACCAUUGGUGAUCUUCAGUUUGAAUUUUCUAGAAAACCCAUCCAAUAUUGGGUCAUCCGACCACAGAUAUCCUAUGAAUAUCCUGUACCUUUUCAGGAUUUUGAAGAACAACAAGUCGCUUGGUAGAGUCUUUUCAUCUUGGAUGAGUAUUUCUAAAGAGGUCAAUUUAGAUAAAUGAUUCAACUCAUGAAGGCUGGCAUUUCUUCUUUCACUGUCGAGCCCUUCAACCUUCCCCCACUGAAUGGGACUCUCACCAAUAUACAGUUCUUCUAAUCGAGAUAAGCUUGAUAUAACAUUUGGUGGAAUAACUUUUAGUUCGAAACACUUGCUCAAAUCCAACAACCUCAAUUGAGUCAGCUGGCCCAUUUCUCCAACCAGUUUCUCCACAUCAGAACCUCGAAGUGAAAGGAUUUCUAAUUUCUUUAGGUCUCCAAUAAUAGCGAUGUCUCCUAGGUUGCAGUAAUCCAGACACAGUGUUUGAAGGUUUUGUAAGAGACCAAGCGAUGAAGGCAAUGGCAAUAAAUGCAUCUCAGUGAAAUCUAAAACUUUAAGCCCAGUCAUCCCAGUAAAAAAAUUAUCUGGGAUUCUCAAAGAUGGAUCAUUGCCAAUACGAAAAUAUUUAAGUUGCGGGCAUUCGAAACCUUGAGGAAGCUCACUAAUAUUACUAUAAAUCAAGGAGAUUGCGGUGCAAACCUUUAGUUUUUCCUUAUCUGGCCAGCUGAUCUGCGGAGCAACCUCACUUUCCACCACAAACACAUGUUGGUCUCCAGAUGCAAUUGAUAUGGCUGCAUCACGAACAACAUCAUGCAUAGAAAACCGUUCACUUGUAUUACCGUCAAGCAACAAACAAGAUUUUUUGAGUUUAUCAACCAAUGUAUGUGCUCUAUCCCACGCCUCUUCCGACGUGUUGAUGUUUUGAAACAGACCCAAACCCAUGCCAUGAUAAAGCACGUCUUUAACGCAAGAGAUGAACGCGUACCCUAUAAGCAAAAACGUUCUCUUGAGCUCCUCCCUGUUUAAAUGAUUGUAACUCAGCUCUAUACUUUUAUAUGCCACCUCCAGUGUUCCACUGAUGUUUCUGAAGGAAGGCCUUCUUAAUUCCAGCAAGGAAUCCUUCCAUUCAAACAAUCUCUUAUUUCUUAGUGCCCUGGCUACGGGUACAAUGGCAAUGGGCAAACCAGCACAUUCCUUGACUAUCUCUGUUGCUACAGAUUUCAGUUCACCAUUUUCUAUGCAAUCACCUGUCAUCUUCCGGAAAAGACUCCAAGCUUCUUUUUCAUUCAGAACAUCAACAAAAAAAUUUUGUUGACAAUCCAUCUUACAGGACAACACAUCUUGACUUCUUGCUGUCAGAAGAACUUUGCAUCCGCUGUUAUCAUCUGCCAAUGGAAUUCCAAUCGCCUCCAAAUCAAGACCCCCCCAAAUAUCAUCCAAGAUUAUAAGGAUCUUUUUCUCUUUCUUCAAUCUUUCAAGCAGCCUCCCUGCUCUUACAGUUUCAUGACUCUGUUCAGCCAAUUCUAAGCCUAUCUUCUCUGAGAUUUCUCCUUGUAUAUUUUUUAUUUGCGGUGUUGGCGAAACACGUGAAGAAAUGACCUUCUCAAAGAGAUUAUUUUCCUUUGCCUGUCUGCCAACUUCUUUCACCAGCGUUGUCUUUCCAAUGCCGCCCAUCCCGUACACUCCAAUCAUGUUGAAGUCACGGUUGCUGAGUGCGUCUAGUAUCUCCUUAAAAGUGGACUUUCUCGAUUCAAAGUGCAUGAAAUCCUGGGUAGACUUAAGCCAUGUCUCCUCUGGAAUGGUACGGAAAGAAACACUGUCGAAUCUCCCUUUUUCAUGGAGUCCAACAAUAGCAUUCGUCUCUCUUUCUGCUUUCUUGCUAAGCUGGUACCGAGUCCUCAAAUUAGGACAUAACCCCUUCAAACACCGGUUGUUUGAAUUCUCUUUGUCUUCAAUAAGUGUUUCGACUUCAUUGAUCUCCUUGUUCGCAGCAAUCAGCCACUCCUCAACGUGCUGUUGAAUUCCGUCCCCUUUAAUUCUGGAAUCAUCAACCUUAUACUGCAUACUGUCUCUAGAAUUCUUUAGCUUAUCGACUUCAUUAUUCAGCUUCUCGAAGUUGGUCUUGUAAGUGCAGCAGUAAGUAAAUGGAUAAAUUAUGGGAGCAACCAAGUACUCGGCAACUUUUGCAGCAACGGAGAUAACAAUUUCCAUUAUCCCUUUCUUUUUUAUUUUUCGCUUUCAGAAAACAGGGGAAAGCAAAACUAAUCAAACUAAGCAGCAGUAAUCAAUCAGCUGGGAUGAGGGAAAUAAGAAGUUUGGAUAAAUUGCUAAAAUAAGAGGUUGAAUAGAUUUAAGGGAGGAGGAGAGGCAAAGAGUGAAAAAUCUAGAGAUGAAACAAAGGGGAUCCUUUGUAAAGGCAGAAAAUGAAAGCUUUGCAAAGAAGGUGUAGGAUCGAGGACAAGAACGAUUCAGAAAAGGGAGACAGAAAAUGAAGAAGAGAUUUCAGAGAACUCUAGAGAUUAGAGAAGAGGGAUGAUUAGGAAAAUGCAGAGGCAGACAGUUGUGAUCUCAAGUCUCAAGGGUAAUCUGAAUACUGCAAAAAAGCCAAACUAAAUUCAUACAAGGAGAAGACUCGUGCUUCCAAGUCAACUAGAUGCUUAAUAACUGAGAUAGAUGGUUAUAAUUGCAAGUAAAUAAAGGGGGAUCCUUUCUCUGCUAAGAAAAAUUGAAAAGCGAGUGCAAUGAAAGAUUUGCAAAGAAGGUGUAGGAUCGAGGACAAGAACGAUUCAGAAAAGGGAGACAGAAAAUGAAGAAGAGAUUUCAGAGAACUCUAGAGAUUAGGGAAAUGCAGAGGCAGACAGUUGUCAUCUCAAAUUCAUACAUGGAGAAGACUC
rnacentral:lncRNA from 1 species